CGCGUAGGCGGCCGAUCAAGUCAGGCGUGAAAGCCCCGGGCUCAACCUGGGAAUUGCGCUUGGGACUGGUUGGCUUGAGUUCGGGAGAGGAGAGUGGAAUUCCCAGUGUAGAGGUGAAAUUCGUAGAUAUUGGGAAGAACACCGGUGGCGAAGGCGGCUCUCUGGACCGAGACUGACGCUGAGGCGCGAAAGCGUGGGGAGCAAACAGGAUUAGAUACCCUGGUAGUCCACGCCGUAAACGAUGUGUGCUAGACGUUGGGGAGCCUAGCUCUUCGGUGUCGCCGCAAACGCUUUAAGCACACCGCCUGGGGAGUACGGCCGCAAGGUUAAA
rnacentral:rRNA from 1 species